GAUGGAUGAUGGAUGAUGGAUGGAUGAUGGAUGAUGGAUGGAUGGAUGAUGGAUGAUGGAUGGAUGAUGGAUGAUGGAUGGAUGGAUGAUGGAUGAUGGAUGGAUGGAUGGAUGGAUGGAUGAUGGAUGGGUGGAUGGAUGGAUGGAUGGGUGGAUGAUGGAUAGAUGCAUGCAUGCAUGGAUGGAUGGAUGAUGGAUGGAUGGGUGGAUGGAUGGAUGGGUGGAUGAUGGAUAGAUGCAUGCAUGCAUGGAUGGAUGGAUGAUGGAUGGAUGGGUGGAUGGAUGGAUGGGUGGAUGAUGGAUAGAUGCAUGCAUGCAUGGAUGGAUGGAUGAUGGAUGGAUGGGUGGAUGGAUGGAUGGGUGGAUGAUGGAUAGAUGCAUGCAUGCAUGGAUGGAUGGAUGAUGGAUGGAUGGGUGGAUGGAUGGAUGGGUGGAUGAUGGAUAGAUGCAUGCAUGCAUGGAUGGAUGGAUGAUGGAUGGAUGGGUGGAUGGAUGGAUGGGUGGAUGAUGGAUAGAUGCAUGCAUGCAUGGAUGGAUGGAUGAUGGAUGGAUGGGUGGAUGGAUGGAUGGGUGGAUGAUGGAUAGAUGCAUGCAUGCAUGGAUGGAUGAUGCACCACUCCAAUACACCAAGCCCAGCAGCAGCAUCUCUGACAGGGCCCAGCUGUGGCUCUGCCCUGCUCUUUCCCAGGUGAAUGGAUCCACUGGAGCUCCAAGGGAGCCAGCCCAGCUCCCCCAGCAGCCAGGGUUCCUCUCCUGGCUCGUCCCCUCAGCCUUAUCUUUGCCUGUGUCAUCCUGCUUCUCUUCUUCUUAACACCACUCUAUUUCUGGCAGCAGGAAACCCCUCCUGGGCUGAUAAGACCCCUUUGGAAAGUGAUCUGAAGAGUUUCCUCUCCUUCUUUCUAAUGCUGGAGAGAUGGGACAGAUGUGAUCCAGGUCUGUUUAGCCAGGAACUGGAUUUUGGUUUGAGUGCAUCAAAUAUCAUCACUUUGAGUCACAACACGUCAGUGCUGUGAGCAAGAUGCUCAGGGGCAGAAUGGGGAUGAAGUCACGGAGGGAACCAGCAGCUGCAAAAAUGCAGGGAUUGGGAAAUGCAGCCGACGUCAAACUGCUCUGGGAAGGAGCAGGGGUUACAACACAGACACUCGUUGUCAUGUUUUUUAGGGGGCGGAAAUAAAAGUGAAAUUUUUGCUGCAUGGAAAGCAACACAAGAAGAGAAUUUGCUCAGUCUGGUGGCAUUAUUUUAAUUAAAGUUUAUUCAUGUGUUUGGCUAUUGAUGUUUCAGGGGUUGUGAUAGUCUGCCUGUCAGCACUGUGGAAAAGAGAACCAGCUCACGUAACUCCGUGUUAGUUAUGCUUUGUCUGGGACAAACCCUUCCAGCUGCACAGGCUACAGGGACUUGGAUGUGCAGUGAUCACUCCCACCCCACACAGUCAGGCAGGUCCCCCGCGCACAAAAACCCAAUCACAGGCUUUAAAAAUCAUUUGACGGCCUUAAAAUCCUUCUCCUUCCACUGUGCCGGGAGGACGAGGGAGGGAUUGACGGGCAGGUCCUGCCCUCUGCUGGGCUCUGCAUCCCGGCUCAGGCUCCUUCCUCGAGGCCUGAAACAUGGAAAUUAAACUCCUAACAUAACCAGGAAGGUUUUAAUUAAAACAGACCCCACCACCCCUUAGAUUCCCUGCGGGACCCCCUGGCGGAAAAGCUGCCCCAGAGCUCUUUAACCUGCCCAUUUUCCACCCUGCUUUCCCUUAAAAAUCCUUUUUGCUCCUGAAUAAAAAGCUGGAGCCAGCUUGGAGUGAGGAGAUGUGGAGCAACAGGAGAAGCGUUAAAAACCCUUUUUGUCACUGAAAUUCGGGAAUAAAACUCCUAAACAGCAGGAAUUUUAAAAACUCCUAGAACUCCAACGCAGCAUUAAGGAUCAGGCAUCACUUUAUUCCAGCGCUGGAUGCUCGAGGGAUAAUUCCACCUGCGCGCCUGGCUCAAGCCGCUGCCUGUAUUUCUCAGCCAGGAGACACCGAUUUUAUCAGGACAGCGCUACAUAUUCCUGUAAAUCUGGCCUUUCCCGGGGCUCCGGGGCGAGGAGCGGGCGAGCCCCGCGGCACCGCCCGCGCCUCGCGCAUUGGAAGCCGCGGCGGGGGGGGGGGGGGGGGGGGGGGGGGGGGGGGGGGGGGGGG
rnacentral:lncRNA from 1 species